rnacentral:ncRNA from 2 species
UAAAACUAGCGAGUUGAAGGUGCUCAAUCAGAGCAUAAUAGGGAAUCUGGUGAAAAGCCAGAACUGUCCCCGCAACUGUAAGUGUGACGAAAUGAGACAUUCCACUGUAUCGAUGGAUAUGGGAAGGGCUCAGAGUAGGUGGAAGCACAAGUCAGGAGACCUGCCUUCUCUCGUACGUAGUU